rnacentral:rRNA from 1 species
UACGUAGGUGGCGAGCGUUGUCCGGAUUUACUGGGCGUAAAGAGCGCGCAGGCGGUCGAUCAAGUCGGAUGUGAAAGCCCCCGGCUCAACUGGGGAGGGUCAUUCGAUACUGGUCGACUCGAAGGCAGGAGAGGGAAGCGGAAUUCCAGGUGUAGCGGUGAAAUGCGUAGAUAUCUGGAGGAACACCGGUGGCGAAGGCGGCAUCCUGGACCAAUAUUGACGCUGAGGAGCGAAAGCCAGGGGAGCAAACGGG